rnacentral:rRNA from 1 species
UACAGAGGGUGCAAACGUUGUUCGGAUUUACUGGGCGUAAAGCGCGUGUAGGCGGCUUGGCAAGUCGGAUGUGAAAGCCCACGGCUCAACCGUGGAAGCGCAUCCGAAACGGCCUCGCUCGAGUCUCGGAGAGGAAGGUGGAAUACUUGGUGUAGAGGUGAAAUUCGUAGAUAUCAAGCAGAACACCUGCGGCGAAGGCGGCCUUCUGGACGAUGACUGACGCUGAGACGCGAAAGCGUGGGGAGCAAACAGG